rnacentral:rRNA from 1 species
UAGGAUUCGAUAAGCCAUGCGAGUCGAGAGGGUUCAGACCCUCUAGCUGAAGGCUCCAUAACCCCUGGAUCAUCUUGCCUUCAGUGGAGGAAUAUCUCCGGAAAAUGAGGAUUAUUCUCCCUAAAUCUUUGAUGGUUGAAUGGACCUAAAUUAAAAACUCCCGACCCCAGAGAAUAGUUCUCCGACUAUCCAGGUGUAAUCGAGGUAAACGCCUUACUAACCUAAUAACGAUACCGGUUGUGAAAACAAUAACCCCGAAAAUAUAUUUUAAACACCAUAUCCGGCCCUACCGGGCGCAACAAGGGCCAAAACUUCACACUGGGUCAAAACACUAUGAGGGAAUCCCCAGUGGUUGCUCCUAAGAGUAAACUGUUUCUUUGUUUAAAAAGCAUAUAGAGUAAGGACUGGGUAAGACGGGUGCCAGCCGCCGCGGUAAUACCUGCAGCUCAAGUGGUGAUCAAUAUUAUUGGGCCUAAAACGUCCGUAGCCGGUUUAGUAAAUGCCUGGGUAAAUCGUGUAGCUUAACUAUACGACUUCCGGGUAGACUACUAAACUUGAGACCGGGAGAGGCUAAAGGUACUCCUGGGGUAGAAGUGAAAUUCUGUAAUCCUAGAGGGACCACCAGUGGCGAAGGCGCUCUCCUAGAACGGGUCUGACGGUGAGGGACGAAGCCCUGGGACACAAACCGGAUUAGAUACCCGGGUAGUCCUGGGUGUAAACGAUGCUUGCUUGAUGUUAGUUGGGCUACAAGCCUACUCAUUGUCUGAGAGAAGUUGUUGAGCAAGCUGCCUGUGCAUUACUGUCGCAAGACUGAAACUCAAAGGAAUUGACCGACUC